rnacentral:rRNA from 1 species
UACGAAGGACCCGAGCGUUAUCCGGAUUUAUUGGGUUUAAAGGGUGCGUAGGCGGAUUUAUAAGUCAGUGGUGAAAGCCUAUAGCUUAACUAUAGAAUUGCCAUUGAUACUGUAAGUCUUGAGUACAGUUGAGGUGGGCGGAAUGUGCAGUGUAGCGGUGAAAUGCUUAGAUAUUGCACAGAACACCAAUUGCGAAGGCAGCUCGCUAAGCUGUAACUGACGCUGAGGCGCGAAAGUGUGGGUAGCAAACAGG